ACAUAACAUAACAUAACAUAACAUAACAUAACAUAACAUAACAUAACAUAACAUAACAUAACAUAACAUAAAAUGUAAAGGAGAAACUACUGACACUACAUGGUAACUUUUCCUCUUGGAAUGAAUAGGACAGCACAGCAGAAAACAGUUAUAAUUAAUCAGUAAUAAGCACCAACAGAGUGGGCCCUAGUAGACAAUGAACUACACAAAGGUUGUAUUUGGUCUUCAGAACCUUCCCACCUGCAGGGAUCAGAAAGCCAUCUGCCCUGCUGUAGAUUACCAAUGAAACUUAAAGUGCUACAUUUUUUUCAUGGAUUUUUUAAAAUUUGAAAGGUAGGAAGUAUUAAGGUCCAAAAACAAAACUGUGGGUAGAACUCUGGGUCUCAGUGGUUAGAGAAGCUGUGGGGCAGCAGGCUUUCUAGUGCUCCUGAAAUCUUGCUAAGGACAUGGUUAGGUAAAUUUUACUUGUUGGUAAGGCUGUCACACUAGGAAUCAUUUACUUGCUCUAGAAUGUUGAGUGAUAUUAUUAUUAUAAGAAAUUAAGAUCAUUUCUCCAGCUUUACUUGACUUUAAAAUUUAAAAUAGCCUAAAACAGUUUUGAAAAAAAUAGAUAAACUUCUAAUUCAUAGCCUAUUUUAAAUCAAGCCAUCAUAAUACGAUUGUAGCUUUAAUGGGGACUGCUUUGAAAUAGAUCACUUUGUGAUUACCAUAAGGUAUAUUAUCUCCUCUACUUUCAAAAUAAUUGCUC
rnacentral:lncRNA from 1 species